UUUGUUGUAUCCGUAUGGAGCCAGUAUCGGUCGAUCGCUUGGGACACCACCCCGUUGGGUCAUCGAUUUGGUGGGAGUAGUUCUACUUCUCUUUUCCUACGGCGCGGCAAUACACCUACCGAAUUUUACCUAACCCAACAUAUCUCUGCCUUCUUGUAUGUAUCAAUUCUGGAUCUCUAAACCUUUUUAUUCACUAAGAUAUGUUUGGUUAAAUGAAUGUAGGAGGAAAUGGUUUAGAGAUAUCCAGUCGGUAAAUCCUGAGACUAGUUUACUUCAGACUUUCCCGGCUAGUCUAGGGCCCUAGACCUGGCGGAGAACAACUUCAGCGAUAAUAAAUCCUAAUCCAUCAGUGCCGUAGAUAAAUGGAUCCUUAGAAGGAUUUACUCGGGAAAGCUUUUCCAACUAGGUGAUACAUGUUCAGAGAUUAUUUAAUGUUAAAAGUCAUCCGAUAAAAGUUGGACUUUAAGUCGGAGAUAAUCGGAUCAACUUUCACCCACUUUAUAACUCGUUUUUUAUAGAG
rnacentral:lncRNA from 1 species